UACGAAAGGUGCAAGCGUUGUUCGGAAUAACUGGGCGUAAAGCGCUCGUAGGCGGGAGUUCAGGUCGAUUGUGAAAUCCCAGGGCUCAACCUUGGAACUGCAGUCGAAACCGGACUUCUUGAAUACUCGAGAGGGUGGGGGAAUUCCUAGUGGAGAAGUGAAAUUCGUAGAGAUGAGGAACACCAGGGCGAAGGCGACUUCCUGGACUGAUACUGACGCUGAGGUGCGAAAGCGUGGGGAGCAAACAGGAUUAGAUACCCGGUAGUCC
rnacentral:rRNA from 1 species